rnacentral:rRNA from 1 species
AGCCUGAUGCAGCCAUGCCGCGUGCGUGAUGACGGCCUUAUGGAUGUAAACCUGUUUUAGUACGGAAGAAA